AGACAAGAUUCUGCUGAGAUGCCCUAUUGCCACAAAUGAGCUUCCUUUUGUUGUUUGCUCUCUUGUCCUUGACGGUUACACCUUAUAUUAAUAUAGACACAGUUGACCCAGUCAGAGAAGACUCUAUUGCCACAAAUGAGCUUCCUUUUGGUUUUUGCUCUCUUGUCCUUAUCAGCUGCUGCUAUUGUUCAGCCGCCAGAUGUGAUCGUGAUGGAAGGGGAUGCAACCACACUGACUUGUUCUCAGGUUCAAACCAGCCAUACAUUUAUGUCCUGGUACAAGCAAGAGAAGAGGAGGGAAGCCCAUUCCCAGUUCCAGCUGGUGGCUUUUACAUCUAAAGGCUCUCCAGGAGACUCUGCCAUUGAGGAAGCCUUUAAAAAACGCUUCAAGACCACAGGGAUGAAGUCACUUGCCUUGCCUCUGUCUCUGGAGAAUGCCCAGCUGGACGACACAGGCACCUACUACUGUGCUUCACAAGAUUACACAGCCAAACAAAUGCUAAGGAAGCCAAACCAAAACCUUUUCACAGGACAACCCCCCCCCUCCACCCCGGUGGCAGAUCCUUUCCAAUAACUGACACAGGGGGGAAGCCAUGAGCUAUUCAUUAUAUUAUAGAAACAGUACUCACUAAGAUGAGCUAGAGCAGAGAUACUUUAACAGGUGCAUGGGCAUACAAGGAUGUUUGAGAGAUUUUUUUUUUAAAAAAAUAUUGCAGUAAGCAAAUGUUGAACUGACAUUUAUUAUAUCUUUCUGAUGCCACUUUCCUUCCCAAACUAUACUGUUUUGAACCAC